rnacentral:rRNA from 1 species
AAGAAACGCAGACAGUGAAUGCCUUGCUUCUCAUCUCCGAAGAAGGACGUACAUGGUCACGAUAGUCGUCGGGUAGGAGCCACGAUCCAUUGAUCCGACGGUGUCCGAAUGGGGAAACCCUUCCAGCUUUGCUGGAAACUUAGCCUCCAAAUGUGUUCCGCAAGGAAUGUUAUAAAGGCUAAUGUGGGAACCGCCCGAACUGAAACAUCUCAGUAGGGCGAGGAAUAUAAAUCAAUUUACCCCCUUUACGGGGGGCGAGAUUCCGUCAGUAGCGGCGAGCGAAAGCGGAACAGUCUAAACCCGAAAUUAGGAAUUUCGCGCGCAGCGCGUUGGGGGUUGCAGGAGCCCGACGUGGGAUUAACUUUUGAUAGCAGAAUAGUCUGGAAUGGCUAAUCAUAGGAAGUGAAAAUCUUGUAUGCAAAAUCAAAAGUUACCCUAGGGAAUUCCUAAGUACCACGGAACACAUAUUCUGUGGGAAACGGGGGGAACCAUCCUCCAAGACUAAAUAAGAUGAGAGAGCGAUAGUGAACUAGUACCGUGAGGGAAAGGUGAAAAGCUGAGUGAAACACUCAAUGAAAUAGAACCUGAAACUGUUUGCGAACAAUCCGAUAGAGCCGCAGCGCGUGGUGAUAUCGUGCCUAUUGAAGAAUGAGCCGGCGAGUUGUUUUAACUUCCCCUGUCUAACCAAGUUAUUUGGGGAGGCGUAGGGAAACCAAGUCUUAAAAGGCGCAUAAAGGAAGUUAAAUCAGACCCGAAACCAGGUGAGCUAACCAUGAGCAGGGUGAAGGAGAUAGAAAUAUCUGUGGAAGCCCGAACCCGUUGUCGUUGCAAUGACAUGGGACGACUUGUGGUUAGUGGCAAUAUACCUAACGAACCUGGAGAUAGCUGGUUCUCCCCGAAAGGUCUAUUAUGUUGGCUGUAGAGCACUAGAUGGGUUGGAGAGCGCAAGCAAUUCAACUCAAUUAAACUCCGAAUACUAACGUUAAUUAUCAUACUAGACAGACAUAUCGGGCUAAGCUGAUAUGUCGAAAGGGAAACAACCCAGAUUUUCAGCUAAGGCCUCUAAAUUACAACUAAGUUUUAAAGGAAGUACGUGUCCGAAAACAGCCAGGAGGUUGGCUUAGAAGCAGCCACCCUUUAAAGAUAGCGUAACAGCUCACUGGUCGAUUAGGGCGCGUGCGCCUAAGAUUUAUCGAGGAUAAGUUGUAUGCCGAAGCUAGGAGUGUGGUAGGGGAGCGUUCCGAUUGCGGUGAAGCUGUUCUGUAAGGAAUGGUGGAGCGGUCGGGAGUGAGAAUGUCGGCUUGAGUAGCGCACAAUUACCGUGAGAAUCGGUAGCACCGAAUGUUCAAGGUUUCCACUGCAAGAUUCGUUCACAGUGGGUUAGUCGGUACCUAAGGCGAGGCCAUAUUGGCGUAGUCGAUGGAAGAGUAGUCAAAAUUCUACUAUUUGGUUUAAUUCUCCUGCUGUGCAUGAGUAGCUGGGGAUUGACCAAAUUGGAAAAUCAGAGCCCAUUAUUGAAUUUGGGUUCAAGCUGCAAGACAGUAUUGUGUGGAAAAUCCCGCAGUAUGAUUAAUCGAGCAGUCAUGUAAACUCUGUCGCGAGAUAGGGGAUUCUGAACGUUUCAGUUUGCAGGAAAAGGUUCGCAGCAAGAGUCAAACUAAGCCGUACCGCAAACCGACACAGGUGAACUGGGGGAGUACCCUAAGGUGAUCGAGAGACAAAUUCUCAAGGAACUCGGCAAAAAAACUAUCCGUAACUUUGGGAGAUGGGUUGCCCGGCAUAAUAACCGGGUGGCACCGAAAGUUUGCUAGUCGACUGUUUACCAAAAACACAGGUCCGUGCAAAGACGAAAGUCGAAGUAUACGGGCUGACGCUUGUCCAGUGCCGGUAAGUUAAGAAGAGGGGUGGCUCGUCGCAAGAUGAAUUGCUCUGAAUUGAAGCUCCGGUGAACGGCAGCAGUAACUAUAACUGUUCUAAGGUGGAAUGCGAAGUUCCUUGCCAGGUGAGUUCUGGCCCGCAUGAAUAGCGUAACGAGCUAGCAACUGUCUUGAGAGUUUACUCGGCGAAAUAGCGAUGGCUGUGAAGACGCGGCCUACUUCUACAUGGACAAAAAGACCCCGUGGAGCUUUACUGUAAGUAGACAUUGCUUUCAUAUUUUUUGAUUGUCUAGAAUAGGUGGGACCCUGAACUUGUUUCAGGGAUAAUAUGUAAUACCACUCGUUGAGAAAUGUGAGGCUUACCUUGUUCCGAUGGAGACUCGGAAGGGAAACGUGUUUGCUGGGCAGUUUUACUGGGGCGGUACCCUGCCAAAAUGUAACGCAGGGACACAAAGGUUGGCUUUCCACCGAUGGAAACGGUGGGUAAAGCGCAAAGGUUUAAGCCAGCUUGACUGCAAGGGAUACAUCCCGCGCAGGUACGAAAGUAGGUCUUAAUGAUCCUCCAAGGCACAAUGGGUGUGCCUGGAGCUUAAUGGAUAAAAGCUACCCCGGGGAUAACAGAGUAGUCGCGCCCGAGCGUCCAUAGCGACGGCGGGUUUAAAACAAUUAUGUCGGACUCUAUCCUGUAGAAGCGUUGGAAUCUUGAGGAGAGCUGGGGACAGUACGAGAGGACCUCCCUGGGGGAAUCCCUGGUGUGCCGGUUAUAGCGUCAGCUGUAACGCCGGGUAGCUACAUUCCCAACGGAUAACCGCUGAAAGCAUCUAAGUGGGAAGCCGCCUCCGAGAUUAGGAUUCCUUCCUGAACUUGUUUCAGGAGCAGACCCCCGACAGAAUAUCGGGUUAAUCGGUUAGCGCUGGAAGUCCCGUAAGGGAUUAAGGCUACUAAUGCGAAUUGGUC